UAUAAUUAUUAGCAGGAUUAUAUUAACAGAAACAGUAAGGAAGGUGUUUAGAAUUGAGUUUGUUUUGUUACCAGUGAGGGUUUAUUUCUGUUGCGUAAAUUUAAUUAUUAUUAUUUUUUUAAGACCGUAUUUAUCUUGAAGACAAAACAGCAACAAAAAAAAAAAGAAACGCCGAGGCUCAACAUUUUUUUUUUUUUAAACGGUUUUAAGAAAGAAAAGCCUUCGUUUAUUUUGCGGUGUGAGGUGGAGUUUUGAUUCUCGCUGUUAGUUCUGCAGUCAAGGACCUAAUUCCAGGUGGACUAAACCCCAUGAGUGCUAGCGGGCUCUCCCUGUGAUGGAGGAGGGGUGCCUCUGUGUGUGUGCAGUCUUAAUCAGGGCCCAGCCUCCUCUGUGGUGGACUUGUGUGGGGUGGGGCACAGCUUCAAAAAGCAGGACCCCAGAAAUCAGCAGUUAAGUGUGAGCCUGUGGUGUGUGUGAAUUGGGACGCUCGAGGGAGUAACUAUUCCCUUGGCUUUGAUACUGAAAUGGGGUUUCUUGCUGUUAUUUGGUCGGCACUGGUGUGUUGUUUUUAAUAUUUGCAGUUGGUAACGCCCUUGUUGGUGUUUGGGUUAAUGUGGGGGGGUGAAAAUGGAUCUCUCUAGUUUUUUUCCCAGGUCUACUCUCAAAGUGUAGGCUCAGAAACCCUGUGGUUGGAUUGAAGAUAGAGCCCUGCGACGCCCCCUGCUGGCGCGCCUGCCCCCCUUGUGUAGUGCUGUCUCUUUAAAAUGGCUGAAUCCUUUAAACUGAGGCAAAGCAGUUCGGAGCCCCGGGAGAGAGUGGCAGGUGAAAAUACAGACCCCAGAACAGAUGAGAAACGUGUUUAUACCUUUUCAUAUGGGCUACCCUGUAAAUAACUUCCAUAUUGACUGAUUUCUAAAGCUGGAACGACCGCGUGAUAGACGACUGACUGGAUUCAGCUGGAGAAGCGUUUAUUUGGUUGUUUUGAAGGGGGUGGGGUGGGAGUAUAACCUGACUCUUUCCUAGCCUUUUUUCAGCUCUUCUAAGCUGUGGUGUAAAGCACCCCCUCAUUGAUGUGUAAACCCAGAGCUAUCAUUCGCAAGCCUGCUGUGCGAGGCUCCCAGGAGUGCGGACGGCUACAGAAGGCAGUUCUGCUCCUCUCUCUAGUUGUGUGUGUGCCGGUCCCUUAGUGUCUUGGAUCCAGGAGCGUCUGGUUGUUGAUGGUAAUGAUCCAGUGUGGGUCUGUCUCUUCUCAAUAUUGGGUUUAAGUGGUGGGGUGGGAGGGGUCUCUUAACUGUAAGACUCUUCCAGGUGCGUACGCACGGUUUUAUAACGGCUCAAAACGACAUUCUCUGGCCUGCUACCCCCCAGGAGAAGGAUGGAUUUUUUGAUGCGCCUCGUCUCAUUUCGACACUUUCAGGCACGUGGGGUUUCGUUGAGGGUUUGAGUUGAUCAUUUUGUUUUAAACCUCAAUUAAAUUGUUGAAUAGCACACUUGUAUCUAUUCUAGCAGUGAGGCUUCUUGUGAUUUCAUGUUCUGUGAGUAUGGAGGGAUGGUUACAGGUAUUGACAGACUGGGAGGGGGGGUGGUAAGAGGGGGAGUUUCUUUUGCUUUUUCCCGUAUGCAGAGUUCGGAUUGCUUGUGCAAGUAAAUAGCCCUGACUGAGGGCUGAAGCCGUGUCCACAUAACUUAUGUAAAGAUUCGAGAUGGUACGAGUCCCUCUGCUGUGUCCUGCAAUUUUCCCCACAAGUUAAAGGUAUACUGUAAAUAUUCCCUUCAUUUGAAAGUCUGACCUUGUAUGUUUUGGUAUGUAACUGGAGCAAUGGUAAACGGUAUCGAUAAGUGAUGUUGGGGUUGUAGAAUUCUGUACCAUGAAUAAAACUAACCUGUUGGCUUGUAAAGCCGGUUUUUUAGGGUAAUGGUUUUUUUAAACUGCAAAAUUAAACUUUUUAUAAACUCUUUCUAAAUAAA